rnacentral:rRNA from 1 species
AUUGAACGCUGGCGGCAUGCCUUACACAUGCAAGUCGAACGGCAGCACGGGAGCAAUCCUGGUGGCGAGUGGCGAACGGGUGAGUAAUAUAUCGGAACGUGCCCAAUCGUGGGGGAUAACGUAGCGAAAGCUACGCUAAUACCGCAUACGAUCUAUGGAUGAAAGCGGGGGAUCGCAAGACCUCGCGCAAUUGGAGCGGCCGAUAUCAGAUUAGGUAGUUGGUGGGGUAAAAGCCUACCAAGCCUUCGAUCUGUAGCUGGUCUGAGAGGACGACCAGCCACACUGGAACUGAGACACGGUCCAGGCUCCUACGGGAGGCAGCAGUGGGGAAUUUUGGACAAUGGGCGCAAGCCUGAUCCAGCAAUGCCGCGUGCAGGAUGAAGGCCUUCGGGUUGUAAACUGCUUUUGUACGGUACGAAACGGUUCUUUCUAUAAGAAGGCUAAUGACGGUACCGUAAGAAUAAGCACCGGCUAACUACGUGCCAGCAGCCG